UACAGAGGGUGCAAGCGUUAAUCGGAAUUACUGGGCGUAAAGCGCGCGUAGGUGGUUCGUUAAGUUGGAUGUGAAAUCCCCGGGCUCAACCUGGGAACUGCAUUCAAAACUGUCGAGCUAGAGUAUGGUAGAGGGUGGUGGAAUUUCCUGUGUAGCGGUGAAAUGCGUAGAUAUAGGAAGGAACACCAGUGGCGAAGGUGACCACCUGGACUGAUACUGACACUGAGGUGCGAAAGCGUGGGGAGCAAACAGG
rnacentral:rRNA from 1 species